rnacentral:rRNA from 1 species
AGCUGCGAGCGAACAGGGAAGAGCCCAGCACCGAAUCCCGCAGGCAUGGCCUGUAGGGAAAUGUGGUGUUAGGGAGGACCCGUUUAUCCAGGUUUGUCGUGGCGAGUCCAAGUCCAUCUUGAAUGGGGCCGCGGCCCAGAGAGGGUGCCAGGCCCGUGGAGACCGCCGCGUAUUCCUGGAGGGUCUCUCCUCAGAGUCGGGUUGCUUGAGAAUGCAGCCCUAAGAGGGUGGUAAACUCCAUCUAAGGCUAAAUAUGACCACGAGACCGAUAGCGAACAAGUACCAUGAGGGAAAGUUGAAAAGAACUUUGAAGAGAGAGUUCAAGAGUACGUGAAACCGUUCAGGGGUAAACGGGAGAAAUCCUGAAUUCGAAAGGGGUUGGAUUCAAGUCCAUCCGUUUGCAUUACAGGCUGCCUGGCCCCGCCAGAUGGCGCUGGUCGCCCGCGGCGAUUCAUUUCGCUUGUGGUGUCGAUCCCGGCGAUCACUCGGUGGGGUGGCGUGAACUCUGGCAAUGGAGGAGCGCACUUCCCCCCUAGUAGAAACGUCGCGACCCGUUGGGUGCCGGUCUAAGGCUUGGGAUGGUAGACCAUGUGUCCUGAGGGAUUUCCCAAAGGCGCGUGGACGCCUGGUGACCCGGCCGGCUGCCCGACGGUAUGACCGGAGGAGUCGAUCCGCUGAAUGGGAAACACUGUGGUUGUGUAGCGUCCGGCCUGGUGUCGCUGUGUGCGGGGAUUGAGGUGUAAAUCCGGGGGUGUCCGUGCGAAGCACGGCCCCGGUCCCUGUUGCGCAUUCGAUGCCGGUGUCCUCGGACUGGAUCGGAACUCCCGUNNNNNNNNNNNNNNNNNNNNNNNNNNNNNGACCCGUCUUGAANCACGGACCAAGGAGUCUAACAUGUGCGCGAGUCAUUGGGUGACUCUAAACCUAAAGGCGCAAUGAAAGUGAAGGCUGCUUGAUGGGUGGCCGAGGGAAGAUGGUACUGGGUCUCCCCGAUCCUCGUGGUUGGGGGCCCGGCCCGCAUUCCCGGGGCGUCUCGUCCUCAUGGCGAGGUGAGGCGCACCUAGAGCGCACACGUUGGGACCCGAAAGAUGGUGAACUAUGCCUGGCCAGGACGAAGUCAGGGGAAACCCUGAUGGAGGUCCGUAGCGAUUCUGACGUGCAAAUCGAUCGUCGGAGCUGGGUAUAGGGGCGAAAGACUAAUCGAACCGUCUAGUAGCUGGUUCCCUCCGAAGUUUCCCUCAGGAUAGCUGGCACUCGGAGGAAAAAUGGGACGAGUCUCAUACGGUAAAGCGAAUGAUUAGAGGCCUUGGGGCCGAAACGACCUCAACCUAUUCUCAAACUUUAAAUGGGUGAGAACCCCGGCUUGCUUGGGUAGAUGAAGCCGGAGACGGAUGAUGAGUGCCAAGUGGGCCACUUUUGGUAAGCAGAACUGGCGCUGUGGNNNNNNNNNNNNNNNNNNNNNNNNNNNNNNNNNNNNNNNNNNNNNNNNNNNNNNAAAGGCGUUGGUUGCUUAAGACAGCAGGACGGUGGCCAUGGAAGUCGGAAUCCGCUAAGGAGUGUGUAAUAACUCACCUGCCGAAGCAACUAGCCCUGAAAAUGGAUGGCGCUGAAGCGUCGUGCCUAUACUCGGCCGUCAGCGGCAUUGGGAGUGGUCGGGGCCUCGGCCCCGGCGCUCGAAGAAGCCCCGACGAGUAGGAGGGUCGCGGCGGUGAGCGCAGAAGGGCAGUGGCGUGAGCCUGCCUGGAGCCGCCGUCGGUGCAGAUCUUGGUGGUAGUAGCAAAUACUCCAGCGAGGUCCUGGAGGACUGACGCGGGGCAGGGUUUCGUGUGAACAGCCGUUGCACACGAGUCAGUCGAUCCUAAGCCCUAUGUGAAGGUUGAUGCCGAUGGGUGGUCGAGAGGUGCUGGCCGAUACCCCCGGCGGGCGAAAGGGAAUCCGGUUCCUAUUCCGGAACCCGGCAGCGGAACCGUUCCAAAUCGGGCCCUCGCGAGAGUGUUCGUCGGGGUAACCCGAAAAGACCCGGAGACGCCGUCGGGAGAUCUGGAGAGAGUUUUCUCUUCUCUAUGAGCGUUCGUGUUCCCUGGAAUCCUCUAGCAGGGAGAUAGGGAAAGGGACGCGAAGAGCACCGCAGUUGCGGCGG